rnacentral:rRNA from 1 species
UACGUAGGGGGCUAGCGUUGUCCGGAAUCAUUGGGCGUAAAGCGCGCGUAGGCGGCCCGGUAAGUCCGUUGUGAAAGUCAGAGGCUCAACCUUUGAAAGCCGGUGGAUACUGCCGGGCUGGAGUCCGGAAGAGGCGAGUGGAAUUCCUGGUGUAGCGGUGAAAUGCGCAGAUAUCAGGAGGAACACCAAUAGCGAAGGCAGUGGUCUGGGACGAUACUGACGCUGAGGAGCGAAAGCGUGGGGAGCGAACAGG